rnacentral:rRNA from 1 species
GUGGGCGUUGGAAAUUUGAAGGGGGCUGCUCCUAGUACGAGAGGACCGGAGUGGACGAACCUCUGGUGUACCGGUUGUCACGCCAGUGGCAUUGCCGGGUAGCUAAGUUCGGAAGAGAUAACCGCUGAAAGCAUCUAAGCGGGAAACUUGCCUUAAGAUGAGAUUUCCCGGAGCCUUGAGCUCCUUGAAGGGUCGUUCGAGACCAGGACGUUGAUAGGUCAGGUGUGGAAGUGCAGUAAUGCAUUAAGCUAACUGAUACUAAUUGCCCGUACGGCUUGUCCC